rnacentral:misc_RNA from 1 species
AACUUUUGACAAUGGAUCACUUGGCUCUCGCAUCGAUGAAGAACGCAGCGAAAUGCGAUACGUAAUGUGAAUUGAAGAUUUAACAGAAUCAUCGAAUCUUUGAACGCACCUUGCACUCUUUUGUUAUUCAGAAGAGUAUGCCUGUUUGAGUGUCGCGAACCUCUCAACCCCGCCCGAUCUUUGCUGAUCUGGGUUGCCUGGGCUUGGAUCAUGGUCUUUACAAAAUGCCGGCUGUCUUCGGAACCGGCUGGACUGAAAUACAACAAGCUGGAUCAGAACGUUCUUGCGGCUUGACCUGACGUUGUAAAAAAUCAACUCGUUGGGGACGCAACGUUGUGAAUGAGCUUCUGCAAACAAUUUACUGUUGAUUCAGUCUUCAGACCUCAAAUCAGGUAGGACUACCCGCUGAACUUAAGCAUAUCAAUAAGCGGAGGCU